rnacentral:lncRNA from 1 species
UGCUAAUUCAGUCCUAAACCUCUAAAUUUGAUCAAUUUAGUCCUAAAUCUUUUAAUAAUUUGUCAAUAUAGUCUAUCCGGCCAAUUUUGAUGGGUUUAGGUUGCUUUGGAUGGUGGUUUUUCUUGGUUAUUAGCCGAAUUGCAUCCUAAUGGGCGCUUAAAUGUCAAAAAUACUCUUCAUCAGCUUAUCACACCAUAUGAUACAACUGUCACAUGAAAUAUCUGUUAUUCUACCGCAUCAUUUCUCUCUCUCUCUCUCUCUCUCUCUCUGC